GUUACAACAAUCAAUUCGGCAGCACUUAUACUACAAUUGGAACAAUACAGAGAUGAUUACAUGGCCCCUGUGUAAAGAUGACACACGGAUUCAUGCAGCAUUCCAUAUUUUA